AUUGAACGCUGGCGGCAUGCCUUACACAUGCAAGUCGAACGGUAACGGGCCUUCGGGUGCCGACGAGUGGCGAACGGGUGAGUAAUACAUCGGAACGUGCCCGAUCGUGGGGGAUAACGAGGCGAAAGCUUUGCUAAUACCGCAUACGAUCUACGGAUGAAAGCAGGGGACCGCAAGGCCUUGCGCGGACGGAGCGGCCGAUGGCAGAUUAGGUAGUUGGUGGGAUAAAAGCUUACCAAGCCGACGAUCUGUAGCUGGUCUGAGAGGAUAAUCAGCCACACUGGGACUGAGACACGGCCCAGACUCCUACGGGAGGCAGCAGUGGGGAAUUUUGGACAAUGGGCGCAAGCCUGAUCCAGCCAUGCCGCGUGCAGGAUGAAGGCCUUCGGGUUGUAAACUGCUUUUGUACGGAACGAAAAGCCUUCUUUUAAUACAGGAGGGUCAUGACGGUACCGUAAGAAUAAGCACCGGCUAACUACGUG
rnacentral:rRNA from 1 species